UACGUAGGGUGCGAGCGUUAAUCGGAUUUACUGGGCGUAAAGGGUGCGUAGGUGGCCCUGUGUGUCUGGCGUUAAAUACCACGGCUCAACCGUGGGAAUGCGCUGGAAACUACGUGGCUUGGGUGCGGCAGAGGCAGACGGAACUGCUGGUGUAGGGGUGAAAUCCGUAGAUAUCAGCAGGAACGCCGGUGGAGAAGUCGGUCUGCUGGGCCGUAACCGACGCUGAGGCACGAAAGCUAGGGGAGCGAACCGG
rnacentral:rRNA from 1 species